rnacentral:rRNA from 1 species
GUAGUGAGUGAUACUCUUUGGAGUUAACUUGAAAUUGCUGGCCUUUUUCAUUGGAUGUUUUUUUUUUCCAAAGAGAGGUUUCUCUGCGUGCUUGAGGUAUAAUGCAAGUACGGUCGUUUUAGGUUUUACCAACUGCGGCUAAUCUUUUUUAUACUGAGCGUAUUGGAACGUUAUCGAUAAGAAGAGAGCGUCUAGGCGAACAAUGUUCUUAAAGUUUGACCUCAAAUCAGGUAGGAGUACCCGCUGAACUUAAGCAUAUCAAUAAGCGGAGGAAAAGAAACCAACCGGGAUUGCCUUAGUAACGGCGAGUGAAGCGGCAAAAGCUCAAAUUUGAAAUCUGGUACCUUCGGUGCCCGAGUUGUAAUUUGGAGAGGGCAACUUUGGGGCCGUUCCUUGUCUAUGUUCCUUGGAACAGGACGUCAUAGAGGGUGAGAAUCCCGUGUGGCGAGGAGUGCGGUUCUUUGUAAAGUGCCUUCGAAGAGUCGAGUUGUUUGGGAAUGCAGCUCUAAGUGGGUGGUAAAUUCCAUCUAAAGCUAAAUAUUGGCGAGAGACCGAUAGCGAACAAGUACAGUGAUGGAAAGAUGAAAAGAACUUUGAAAAGAGAGUGAAAAAGUACGUGAAAUUGUUGAAAGGGAAGGGCAUUUGAUCAGACAUGGUGUUUUGUGCCCUCUGCUCCUUGUGGGUAGGGGAAUCUCGCAUUUCACUGGGCCAGCAUCAGUUUUGGUGGCAGGAUAAAUCCAUAGGAAUGUAGCUUGCCUCGGUAAGUAUUAUAGCCUGUGGGAAUACUGCCAGCUGGGACUGAGGACUGCGACGUAAGUCAAGGAUGCUGGCAUAAUGGUUAUAUGCCGCCCGUCUUGAAA